rnacentral:rRNA from 1 species
UAAGACGGAAGGCGCAAGCGUUGUUCGGAAUCACUGGGCAUAAAGGGCGCGCAGGCGGCCAGUUUAGUCAAGUGUGAAAUCCCUCGGCCCAACCGGGGAACUGCACUCGAUACUGACUGGCUAGAGGAUGGUAGGAGCUAAUGGAACUCCAGGUGGAACGGUGAAAUGUGUAGAUAUCUGGAGGAACACCGGUGGCGAAAGCGAUUAGCUGGGCCAUUUCUGACGCUGAGGCGCGAAAGCUAGGGGAGCGAACGGGAUUAGAUACCCCGGUAGUCCUAGCCGUAAACGAUGGGUACUGGGCAAUGGACUUACCUAUGUAGUUCAUUGCUGUAGCUAAUGUGUUAAGUACCCCGCCUGGGGAGUACGCUCGCAAGGGUA